rnacentral:misc_RNA from 1 species
ACUGGAUAUUGUCAAUGAUCAACCUAUCUUCAUUUUGUUGUGCAUUCGCAUUUUUCCUUUGAUGAGUAAAGCUUAAAAAGAGGGCACAGCCUAGGACAGGCAGAUACACUGGUUCUCUUGCUAAUGUUUGCAUGGAGAUGAAUUCUCUUUUAUUACUGCUGGAAAGAACACUGAGAGAGGCUUAAGGCUAUUGUUGGGGUGUGGCUAGGAGUUCUAAAGUGCCCUGUUGGCAUUUUGGCAUGAGGCCAUGUAUUUAAAUUGAAUGCAAAGUUGGUAUGAGAAAAUGCAUCAAAUUGUUGGUUAACUGCUGCCAGGAAAUUCUAACAUUACAUGUAUUUUUUGUCCAAGAUGUAUUGAUGUAUUGAUGAGCAUGCCUAGAAUCAUAUACUUUUAUAAGUUGCAUAGAAUGUGUGGUGUGACUGGCCUGUAAAACUAACUGGUUAGGAUUCAUGAAGGAGACAGCUGAGCUUGAUCCUUUUUGGCUCAAGUAUCCUGAAACGACCAAUGGAUAGGUUAUGAUGCAGAGCUAGAUCCUAAUAA